rnacentral:misc_RNA from 1 species
GAUGAAGAACGCAGCGAAAUGCGAUAAGUAAUGUGAAUUGCAGAAUUCAGUGAAUCAUCGAAUCUUUGAACGCACCUUGCGCUCUUUGGUAUUCCGAAGAGCAUGCCUGUUUGAGUGUCAUGAAAAUAUCAACCUUGACUUGGGUUUUGUGCUCUAGUCUCGGAUGGAAUUGGGUGCUUGCCGCUUUUACGAGCGGCUCACCUUAAAUGUAUUAGCUGGAUCUGUCUUUGAGACUUGGUUUGACUUGGCGUAAUAAGUAUUUCGCUAAGGACAUUCUUCGGAGUGGCCUCGUUUCUAGGACGCUUGUCCGCUUUCCAAUACAAGUUCCACCUCGUGGACAUGACUUUUUAUUAUCUGGCCUCAAAUCAGGUAGGACUACCCGCUGAACUUAAGCAUAUCAAUAAGCGGAGAA